rnacentral:rRNA from 1 species
UACGGGGGGGAGCAAGCGUUGUUCGGAUUUACUGGGCGUAAAGGGCGCGUAGGCGGCGCAACAAGUCACUUGUGAAAUCUUCAGGCUUAACCUGAAGCGGCCAAGUGAUACUGUCGUGCUAGAGUGCGGAAGGGGCAACUGGAAUUCUUGGUGUAGCGGUGAAAUGCGUAGAUAUCAAGAGGAACACCUGCGGCGAAGGCGGGUUGCUGGGCCGACACUGACGCUGAGGCGCGAAAGCUAGGGGGAGCGAACGGGG